AGGGUUUGAUUAUGGCUCAGGAUGAACGCUGGCGGCGUGCUUAACACAUGCAAGUCGAACGAACCUUCGGGUUAGCGGCGGACGGGUGAGUAACGCGUGAGAAUCUGCCCUCAGGAGGGGGAUAACGGUUGGAAACGACCGCUAAUACCCCAUAUGCCUACUGGUGAAAUGAAUUUCGCCUGGGGAUGAGCUCGCGUCUGAUUAGCUAGUUGGUGAGGUAAUGGCUCACCAAGGCUUCGAUCAGUAGCUGGUCUGAGAGGAUGAUCAGCCACACUGGGACUGAGACACGGCCCAGACUCCUACGGGAGGCAGCAGUGGGGAAUUUUCCGCAAUGGGCGAAAGCCUGACGGAGCAACGCCGCGUGAGGGACGAAGGCCUCUGGGCUGUAAACCUCUUUUCUCAAGGAAGAAGAUAUGACGGUACUUGAGGAAUAAGCCACGGCUAAUUCCGUGCCAGCAGCCGCGGUAAUUC
rnacentral:rRNA from 1 species